GGUUGAUCCUGCCAGUAGUCAUAUGCUUGUCUCAAAGAUUAAGCCAUGCAUGUCUAAGUAUAAGCAUUUAUACAGUGAAACUGCGAAUGGCUCAUUAAAUCAGUUAUCGUUUAUUUGAUAGUUCCUUUCUACAUGGAUAACCGUGGAAAAUCUAGAGCUAAUACAUGCGACAAGCCUCAACUUCGGGAGAGGUGUAUUUAUUAGAUAAAAAAUCAAUGCCUUUUUGGCCUUUUGAUGAUUCAUAAUAACUUUUCGAAGCUCAUGGCCUUUGUGCUGGAGCUGGUUCAUUCAAA
rnacentral:rRNA from 1 species